rnacentral:SRP_RNA from 1 species
UCUGGGUACAAUGGCUAAUGCCUAUAAUCCCAGCAUUUUAGGAGGCCAAGGUGGGAGGAUCACUUGAGCCUCAGAAUUCGAGGCUGCAGUGAGCUAUGACCAUGCCCACUGCACUUCAGACUUCAGCCUGGGCAACAGAGGCCCUGCCUCUUAAAAAAAAAAAAGAAAGAAAGAAAAACAUGGUGUCCUCCUGGGAGUGAAAGACCAGCAGGUUGCCUACAAAGGGGUGAACUGACCCAGGCUGGAAACUGAGCAGGUCAAAACUCCUGUGCUGAUUAGUAGUGGGAUUGCACCUUUGAAUAUCCACUGCACUGUAGCCUGGCCAACACAGUGAGACCCCAUGUCU